rnacentral:rRNA from 1 species
GUUAGCGGCGGACGGGUGAGUAACACGUGGGUAACCUGCCUGUAAGACUGGGAUAACUCCGGGAAACCGGAGCUAAUACCGGAUAGUUCCUUGAACCGCAUGGUUCAAGGAUGAAAGACGGUUUCGGCUGUCACUUACAGAUGGACCCGCGGCGCAUUAGCUAGUUGGUGGGGUAAUGGCUCACCAAGGCGACGAUGCGUAGCCGACCUGAGAGGGUGAUCGGCCACACUGGGACUGAGACACGGCCCAGACUCCUACGGGAGGCAGCAGUAGGGAAUCUUCCGCAAUGGACGAAAGUCUGACGGAGCAACGCCGCGUGAGUGAUGAAGGUUUUCGGAUCGUAAAGCUCUGUUGUUAGGGAAGAACAAGUGCGAGAGUAACUGCUCGCACCUUGACGGUACCUAACCAGAAAGCCACGGCUAACUACGUGCCAGCAGCCGCGGUAAUACGUAGGUGGCAAGCGUUGUCCGGAAUUAUUGGGCGUAAAGGGCUCGCAGGCGGUUUCUUAAGUCUGAUGUGAAAGCCCCCGGCUCAACCGGGGAGGGUCAUUGGAAACUGGGAAACUUGAGUGCAGAAGAGGAGAGUGGAAUUCCACGUGUAGCGGUGAAAUGCGUAGAGAUGUGGAGGAACACCAGUGGCGAAGGCGACUCUCUGGUCUGUAACUGACGCUGAGGAGCGAAAGCGUGGGGAGCGAACAGGAUUAGAUACCCUGGUAGUCCACGCCGUAAACGAUGAGUGCUAAGUGUUAGGGGGUUUCCGCCCCUUAGUGCUGCAGCUAACGCAUUAAGCACUCCGCCUGGGGAGUACGGUCGCAAGACUGAAACUCAAAGGAAUUGACGGGGGCCCGCACAAGCGGUGGAGCAUGUGGUUUAAUUCGAAGCAACGCGAAGAACCUUACCAGGUCUUGACAUCCUCUGACAACCCUAGAGAUAGGGCUUUCCCUUCGGGGACAGAGUGACAGGUGGUGCAUGGUUGUCGUCAGCUCGUGUCGUGAGAUGUUGGGUUAAGUCCCGCAACGAGCGCAACCCUUGAUCUUAGUUGCCAGCAUUCAGUUGGGCACUCUAAGGUGACUGCCGGUGACAAACCGGAGGAAGGUGGGGAUGACGUCAAAUCAUCAUGCCCCUUAUGACCUGGGCUACACACGUGCUACAAUGGACAGAACAAAGGGCUGCAAGACCGCAAGGUUUAGCCAAUCCCAUAAAUCUGUUCUCAGUUCGGAUCGCAGUCUGCAACUCGACUGCGUGAAGCUGGAAUCGCUAGUAAUCGCGGAUCAGCAUGCCGCGGUGAAUAGUUCCCGGCCUGUCCCCCCCGCCCC